UACGCAGAAGCAAGGAGUAAUCAGAACGGAAGGCACAGUUUGUUCUUUCUUUGAGGAAAAGUUUUGUUGCGGGAUUUGGGGAUCGUUUUGGAUUCUUGAACUGUUUUUAUUUACAACCCCCAGCAGUUGAAACACUGUUUGGGGGUUUCGUAUUUGAGUUUUUUUGUUUUGUUUUGUGGUGACUACGGGUGAAAACACAUCAUCCGGUAAAAUGGUGACAGGGAGGACGGAUAACACAGCAACGAUCAUGAUGAUGGAUAAAACCACAGCGAAAGGAAAAGGACGAAUGGACACUGAUGCUGGGAAAGGAAAGCAAGGGAUGACAAAGAACCCGGACCGGCAGACGAUCAUUGAACAGAUCACGGAAAAAAGAGGGGGAAAGAAGAGAGAGAGCGCGGCGGCAGAGAAGGAAGACGGAGCGCAGAGAGAGUAACAGAAGGAAAUGGUUUAUCAUAAGAAGCUGACGUGUCAGAUUGAACUGCAAGGAGAAGAAAAAGUGAUGGUGAUGGAGCUCCUGAGAUGUUUAAGAGAACUGUGUGGCGGACUCAUGGCCUGCAGGCAGCUGUCAGCGACAAAGUUUGAGGUGACGAUGACGGGAGAAGCCGGUCUGAGGAGGCUCCUGGACGGAUUCAAGAGUACCGUGGUGAUGGCGAAAGAACUAAUGACCGAUGAGCUGGUGGUGUCUUUUCUGGCACUACCAGCUUAUAUAACGGAUGAAGAAAUUGUGGAAAAACGAAUAGGGUGGGGAGUGACAGCGGUGUCACCGAUUAAAAGGAACUGGUGUGAAGCAGUCCACCACCACCGAGAAAGGUGUGAAGUGAGCAAUCGCUCGUAUUUAGGGGAGCCUGUGUAUACUUGACAUUACGGUAAUAUAGAACUGCGGGAAAACUGCUAGUUUCCACAGACUCAUUCCACCUCAGUCUUGUAGUAGACCACCCCAGGAAGACCCCCACUCUAUUUGGUGUCAAUCUGAUGUGGCAUUUCAGAAUAAAAUGCCUCUAAAAUCCACAUAUCUAUAGUGUAUUAUGGCAAAAUUAUUAUUCAUAUUACAGGAAAUCUCCUAGUUUCCUUUUUUGUCUUUCGUGUUUAAUUGACAUCAUGUAAUUCAAAAUCAGUUUUGUCGUAUACUGCUCAAAUUCAUUGCAGUUAAUCAUUUUACACAAAGAGGUCAAUGAGGCGAUCACAUUUCUAAGCCAGCCACUCACAGGACCAGGACAAGUUUUUUCCUCCUUGUUGACAAGUACAUCACGACUGACACACCAGAUGAAGAUGGCUUUGUCAAAAUCCAACUUCCCCUCAAGCCAACUUUUUUUAUUGAUCGGAAAGACUGGGAGCAGAUUUUUUAAAAAAAAGAAACCGCAGAAGAUUUAAGGGCCUGCAGUGGACCAACAUUAUCGCAAAUGGCUUAAGGAGCAUUCACCCCUAUUGCUCCUUUGCCUUUAAAUUGUACCGACUUAAGGUUGAUGGAUCGCAAAGUGAAGGUCCAGUUUUUUCUUGUUUGGGGUACUGUCACUGUGACUACUGCCCAGUAUCUGUGUCUGUCUCUGUUAAAGAUGAAAAUCUUCUGAAAGCCAAUGUAGAUUUUCAUGGUGUGGAAUGCAUCCACAACAGGACAGAAAUUAAGAGACGUCCAGUGAGAGCCGAUGAAAGACAACAGAUAGGCAAAGAGUUGAAGUCAGUGCUCCCCAGAACAUUUUUUCUUGAAAGACUCAGUUCCAUAAGAGAGGACAUCUUAGAGUCUGGCUGCCGGGAUGAGGCUCCUACGACACAAGUGAUGCGCAGCAUAUUAAAGGAGGAAAGGCAGAAGGGUAGAGAGCACAGUAAUGAGAUUAUCAACCUUCAAAUAAUGCUGACAAAGAAGAAAAACACUACGGACGAAGUACUUCAAAAAGUGUUCUUGCACCCAAAAGGUGUCCUGCUGUGGUCUGUUUGGAGCAUCCAAAUAUAUCGUGACCGUUUCCAGGAGGACAUCGUCUACUUGGAUGCAACUGGAAGCAUAAAAACAAACGAAGAAGGUUCACCUCCUUUUUACAUAUACGAACUGGUCAUACGAAAUCCACAAAAGGGGUGCUCUCCAUUGCCAGUUGGCACAUAUCUGACGUGUGAUCAUACAACCGCAUCAGUCACUUAUUUUCUUGAAGCAUUUCAAUCUGAUGUUUCAAGAUUUUAUGGAAAGAAAGGCAUGCAGGGACCCAUUUUGCUCAUGUGUGAUGGUUCAAUGGUUCUUAUGCAGGCCAUCUGUCUGUCAUUUGUGAGGAAAAAUCUGAAUGACACCAUUAAUUUAUAUUACAACAUUGCCACUGGAAAAGCAAACAGGGCUGACUUUGAUGUUCCAGUUCUCCGCCGCUGCCUGAGCCAUAUUAUGAAGAACGCCAAGGACAUGUGCACAAUAUGUGCUCCCAGACACUACAGCCUUGCGAUGCAUGUAAUUGGACUGAUGACAACAGCAAAGCUCUUUGACAACUGGAUGACAUGGUCAUCAGUGCUACAGUUGUUUUUUCAACUCCAGCCAUGGGAGCAAAUGAGGAAAAACAUUUCCAGAACCUUCAGAUAGGGCUCCAACAGCAAAAAAAAAAAAAAGGAUGCUAAUGACAACAUCCAUUCUGAACAUUUGGAGGACUUGACAGAAAUCGGAGGGAAAAACAAAUUCUGGAGAAGGUACAAAGAUGUGGUCGGAAAAGCCCCUCUUGACAAAGAUGGAGAGCCAAACAAAUAUUACAGCAAAGGGCUUUUGGAACAUCUCGUGAAGUACCUUCUCCCAUUUGCUGGAUUAUGGAGUGAAAUCAUGCUAGGUUGAUAAUUGGAAUUUCUACAACCUGUCUGUGUGUGUCUCAUGUUCUGUGUCCAAUGCAAAAUUUUGAAAAAACUAACAUUAUUCCACCCCAAUAGGUAACCUUGGAAGGCAUGGCAAGGGCAAAGUGUACGAGGACUACACCAAAAAAUACAAUCUCCUCCGAAAACUACCAAGACAAAACAUCACAGAGGACAACAAAACGCAGGGAAUCAUGGAGAAGAGUCAGUGGGAUUUAAAACGGAUUCGUUUCAAUUCAAGCAAAGUGAAAAGACUUGAUGAUUUUGUUGUCCAGUAUCAACACACCCGCUGUCCUCUUCUCAAAGAGUACGAAGACUGCAAAAGAACUGCCCCCAAAAAGUUCAGAGUUGAGUUGGAAAGGUGGAAGGAACGCUGGCGGCGGAAGAGGGGGAGAUGUUUCCAGAGUCAAUCGGCCAUUUUCCUUCAAAGGAUCCACCGUGAAGGUUGAUUCAUCUUUGAGUGACUCACAGACAGAGCCACAGAUUGUGCGUGAGGACUCUGAAGGAACCAAACCACAGCAAGCCCAAACGAGGAUUUUGGGCAAGACAGAGUCCUCAUUAUCAAAGACAACAUCUGAAGCAGAAGAACAGGUCACGUCCACGUGGAAAAGGACAGAGUCAGAGGUAAUUAUGUCUGCGAUCCCUACUCAAAGUGCGGGAAAUCCAAUCCAUGUCCAUCACUCAGAGUUGAAUACCCUGAAACCUCACCGGUGGCUUGCAGUCGAGGUAAUUGAAGGCCUGUUUCACAUCUACAACAAAGAGAUCAGCAACAAAAACAUCUACAUCAUGAAUCAUUACACUGCAGGUGUCAUUCUCUAAGGAGAACGAUCACAGGUUGCCCGAUCUUGUCUGUCUAAGGUGAACUUUGCAAAGUACCAGGCCAUAGUCACAUUUGUUAACCUGAACAAUGUCCACUGGAAGUUUAUGGUUAGUAUGUGAAUUUGUAGGGUCUGAUCAUCCUGAGCAUUGGUUUAACAUUGGUUUUAAUUAACAUAUUUUUAUUAUAUCAAAAUUUCCAGUACAUUAAUGCUGUGAACAACACAGUAUAUGUAAUGAAUCCAGCACCAAGGUCUGCCGAAAAAAUGACUCUGAACUUGCAGCGAAUAAAAAUCAGCGACUACUGGAAAAUAAGAAGAACGUGUCAUGGAAAAACAGACUGGGUUGAGAAAAAAUGGAAAGGAGGAGUUCUGGAAGCAUCCCACCCAGCAAGAUGGCAGUAGCUGUGGUGUCAUUGUCACCAUGAUGGCAAGAGCAGUGAUUGAAGCCUUUCCGAAUCUACCUGCCUUUAACUUUGGGACAUCAAAAUCAGAAAUGUCAAGUGAGAGGAGAAAGAUGGCUGUCCAAAUACUGCAGGCAUCAGGCGACGUCUGACCAGAGCUCUAGAGGUAGUAAGAGUUGCGACACUCCCAUAGGGUGCCGUUGUACGCUUUCUUCCGGUCUACUUCCGGGUUGUGGAGGCUUGUUUAGUUCCAAGCACCGCUUCUACAGUGAUAUCCACCGUUCAUUUGCACUGCAGGUUGUUGAGUAUAUGUGGAGUAUCCCGAGAGCCCUCACUGAAGACACGAAGACCCUCAUUGUUUCUCCCAUUGUCAAUAAAACAUACUAUUUCAUUCAUCAAA